AGCUUAAUUUAUUUAUGAAUUUAAUUUUUUUUUAUUGGACCUCUCGAGUUGACAGAGUUUGGAAAUGACUUGGUCUGGUUUAUAGUGGUCCAGAAUAUACCUAUGAAUAUAAUAUAGAUGUUUAGCUUAAAAGAUGAUAUACAUUGUCAAGCUCUGUUUCUGUCGCAAAGGAAAUGUUGGUUUUGUGUGCUAAAAAUGCCAAUGUGUGAUGAACGUGUAUUCUGACAUCAAACUAACUAUUUCUACUUGGGAACUUGAUAGAUUGAUUUGGAGCUGUAUUUUAGGAAAAGUUAGUGACAGUUUUUACAUUUAAGGGGAAAAAAAAGCUUAUUAUAAUUUAUUGAUCUUCUGAGAAUAACUAUGAUAAUUGUUUAUCCAGGUUCAUGGUGUUAGUGAUCCAA
rnacentral:misc_RNA from 1 species